GGGGGCGACUGGUUUCGACAAGGUAAGUUCGAUGUGAGGAGCAGGUCGUGGUCUCCUCGCCACGUUAAACAGGGGUACCGUCAAUUUAAUUGGCAAGAAAUCUUUCCAGAGCGCUCCGGCGCUCGCCAUGGCUGCUUAAUCGCGCCUGGCUGUCAAUCCCGGAACUUCCCCGCCCCGGGUGCGGCAUCAACCUCAGGGGAAUGCUCCUUGGCACGUAGUUCGUAUGGCCAAGGCUAAGACUGAACGAGCUCGGGGCGGCAACGCGUGUGCGUGUGCCAAGCCGCCCUUAAACCCCGACCACGUACUAAGCUUGUAGCGCCUUGCAGAGAAUUUAGUUUGGACCGGAGUUCGAUUCUCCGCGCCUCCACCA
rnacentral:tmRNA from 1 species